CUACGGGAGGCAGCAGUGAGGAAUAUUGCGCAAUGGGGGAAACCCUGACGCAGCGACGCCGCGUGGGCGACGAAGGCUUCGGGUCGUAAAGCCCUUUUAGCAGGGAAGAGCGAGGACGGUACCUGUUGAAUAAGUCUCGGCUAACUACGUGCCAGCAGCCGCGGUAAAACGUAGGAGGCGAGCGUUAUCCGGAUUCACUGGGCGUAAAGCGCGCGCAGGCGGUUGGUUAAGUCGGAUGUSAAAGCCCCUGGCUCAACUGGGGGAGGCCGUUCGAUACUGGCUGGCUUGAGGGUGAGAGAGGGGAGUGGAAUUCCCGGUGUAGCGGUGGAAUGCGUAGAGAUCGGGAGGAACACCAGUGGCGAAAGCGGCUCCCUGGCUCGCCCCUGACGCUGAGAGCGCGAAAGCGUGGGUAGCAAACGGGAUUAGAUACCCCGGUAGUCCACGCCRUAAACGAUGAGGGCUAGGUGUUGGUGGGAUUACCCAUCUGUGCCGAASUAACGCGUUAAGCCCUCCGCCUGGGGACUACGAACGCAAGUUUAAAACUCAAAGGAAUUGACGG
rnacentral:rRNA from 1 species